rnacentral:rRNA from 1 species
CCUACGGGGGGCAGCAGUGGGGAAUAUUGGACAAUGGGGGCAACCCUGAUCCAGCCAUGCCGCGUGUGUGAAGAAGGCCCUCGGGUUGUAAAGCACUUUCAGUGAGGAAGAACGCCUGGUGGUUAAUACCCAUCAGGAAAGACAUCACUCACAGAAGAAGCACCGGCUAACUCCGUGCCAGCAGCCGCGGUAAUACGGAGGGUGCGAGCGUUAAUCGGAAUUACUGGGCGUAAAGCGCGCGUAGGUGGCUUGAUAAGCCGGUUGUGAAAGCCCCGGGCUCAACCUGGGAACGGCAUCCGGAACUGUCAAGCUAGAGUGCAGGAGAGGAAGGUAGAGUUCCCGGUGUAGCGGUGAAAUGCGUAGAGAUCGGGAGGAAUACCAGUGGCGAAGGCGGCCUUCUGGACUGACACUGACACUGAGGUGCGAAAGCGUGGGUAGCAAACAGGAUUAGAUACCCGGGUAGUC